GUGCUCGCUUAAGUAGCACAUAUACUAAAAUUGGAAUGAUACAGAGAAGAUUCGCAUGGCCCCUGUGCUGUUGCAGGAAGACGAGGCUCAGUGGAGAGAAAGAGCACCCAAACACCACGUUUAU
ensembl:snRNA U6 U6 spliceosomal RNA